UACGUAGGUGACAAGCGUUGUCCGGAAUUAUUGGGCGUAAAGGGAGCGCAGGCGGUUGGAAUAGUCUGAUGUGAAAGCCCACGGCUUAACCGUGGAAGGUCAUUGGAAACUGGGAGACUUGAGUGCAGAAGAGGAGAGUGGAAUUCCAUGUGUAGCGGUGAAAUGCGUAGAUAUAUGGAGGAACACCAGUGGCGAAGGCGGCUUUCUGGACUGUAACUGACACUGAGGCACGAAAGCGUGGGUAGCAAACAGG
rnacentral:rRNA from 1 species